rnacentral:tRNA from 1 species
AGCAGGGUGGCUUAGUGGAUAGAGCACAGGCCUGGGAGUCAGAAGGAUCUGGGUUCUAAUCCCCGCUCAGCCA